rnacentral:rRNA from 1 species
UACGUAGGGGGCAAGCGUUGUCCGGAAUCAUUGGGCGUAAAGAGCGUGUAGGCGGUCCGGUCAGUCGGUUGUGAAAGUCAAGGGCUCAACCCCGGAACUGCCUUUGAUACUGAUAGUCUCGAGUCCGGAAGAGGUGAGUGGAAUUCCGAGUGUAGAGGUGAAAUUCGUAGAUAUUCGGAGGAACACCAGUGGCGAAGGCGGCUCACUGGUCCGGUACUGACGCUGAGGUGCGAAAGCGUGGGGAGCAAACAGG